UGUUGAGAUGGUCUUAUCAAAGCAGAAACAUACUGCUGGUUGACUGAGCACUUUGUGCAAACUGUAGUGAGGGGAGUGUGGUUUUAAGGGCGGGCUUAUUUUCAGUAUUUUCAAAACUAUACAGCUGGGGUAAGCAGUCUAAAGUAAUUUAGGGCUCUUCUAAAGAGAGUUCUGGUUUUCUUUCCAAAGCUAAUCUGCAGGAGAAACUGGUAGAGGAGUUAUCUAAAAAAAUGCUCUAAAACUAGUUCUGUUUUGCCUUUCAAGGUACAAGUGUGUCUGUGACCCAGGCUGGAUAGGAGAUUACUGUUCAACAGAAGGGAAUGAAUGUAAAUCAAACCCAUGCCAGAACGGAGGAACUUGUGAGGAUCUGCUGAAUGGAUACAGAUGUACCUGCAGGAAAGGAUUCAAAGGUGUGAACUGCCAGGUAGUGGUUUCUCCUUGUUCCCCUAAUCCUUGUGAGAACUCGGGAAUCUGCCAAGAAUCUCCUGACUCUGAAGGCUACACCUGCCAGUGUGCCCCUGGCUGGGAAGGGGAAAGAUGCACAGUGGAUAUCGAUGAGUGCCUCUCCAAGCCCUGCAAAAACCACGCUCUGUGCCACAACAUCCAGGGCAGUUACCUGUGCGAGUGCCGGCCUGGCUUCACCGGCGGGGACUGCGACAGCAACAUCGACGACUGCCUGUCCAGUGGGUAUCAGCACAUUGCUUCCCACUUCUCCCUAAAAAUAACUUUGCUGACUGCUGUUUGACAGAUUUUGAGCUCUCUUUUAGAAUCUCUUGCCAAAAGGAGAAAAAAACAUAACAACCCCAAGGUUCAGGGUGGUGUUGUUGAUGACUUUGUGAUGUUUGAGUCAGUCAAAAUCCAGCGUGUUGGGCUGCUAGAAAUGGACCACAGCAUCCUAACUGAUGGCAGCUGUUGUUCCCAGAUCCUUAACUUGAGAAGGUCCUUAGAGUUUACAUACUUGAAUAAGAAGUGCUGUUAAAUGCAAAAUUGUAUUUGCCUGAAAUUUUAAUGCAUCAGGUUAAGGUGCCACUGCAGGGCUUACCUGUAUUUCAACGUUCAGUUUGAUUGAGGUGUGGUGGGAAUCUGGGGUAUAGCAGUCCUUCCUGAAAUGUCUGUCUGACAUUAAUAUUCCUGGAAGAGUGGGUCCUGUUGCAGUUCCAGUUAAUCCAUAUUUGAAAACAAAUGAAGCAGCAGGAAGGCCUCCUCUGUUCUGGAAUAGGUAUCAGUUGCAGGAGGGUAACCCAUACACUGAUGAGUGCUGAAAUGGCUCAAAUUGCAAGAAAACAAGUAUUAAUUUCACAUCCUUGACACUGCUGUUUAUAAAGGAAACCAAAUACAUAGUAGCUUCUUUUUCUUACUGGGCAUAUUCUAUAUCAUCAUCAUCAGAUAAAAUCAGAGUCU